AUGGGAGAAAUUGACAAUUGGAUGCCUCAAAUUGGCAAGAGGUUUAGAAAUCCGGAUGAAGCUUGGCUGUUUUGGGUUGCAUAUGGAGGCCGUGUUGGGUUUGAUGUGAGGAAGAGAAACAAGCAUGUAAGUAAGAUGGAUGGUCAAGUGACUUCAUGCACAUUUGUUUGCUCCAAUGAGGGUAUACGAAAGAAAGGGAUAACAAUGGAUCAUGAGCCAAAACGUGUUCGAGCUGAAACAAGGACAAAUUGCAAAGCUCGCAUGACUAUAUCAUUGGACCGAGUGCAAAGAAAUUACGAAGUCACAGAUAUUGUGUUGGAACACAAUCAUUGUCUUCAAUUGCCACAAACAUGUCACUUGAUGGCAUCACAAAGGAAGAUUUCCGAACUACAAGCUUUUGAAAUAGAAGCUGCCGAGGAUUCAGGAAUAAUGCCCCAAGCUGCACAUGAGUUUGCUUGUCGCCAAGUUGGUGGACCAUUGAACCUGGGCUACACUUGUCGUGAUCAAAAGAAUUAUUUGCGAACCAAGCGACAAAGAGAGUUGGCUUACGGUCAGGCUGGUAGUAUGUUGAAGUAUUUUCAUAACAAAAUGAUCGAAAACCCAUCUUUCCAAUAUGCUUUGCAGCUGGAUUGUGAGGAAGAUAUAGCCAACAUAUUUUGGGCUGAUGCUAAAAUGCUUCUUGACUAUGCACACUUUGGUGACGUUGUCACAUUUGAUACAACUUUUGGCACAAACAAAGAAUAUAGGCCAUUUGGUGUUUUUCUUGGGCCCAAUCAGUUUAGAGAAACCACCAUUUUUGGCGCGGCAUUGCUAUUUGAUGAAACAUUUGAGUCAUUUAAAGUUGCCCCGUCAAAAAAAAAGGGAGCAAAGCAGCAAAAGAAAAAUGAUGGUGGACAGCCUCAAGUGAGAGUGGAGAAGGAUGAUGGUGGACAGCGUCAAGUGAGAGUGGAGAAGGAUGAUGGCGAUAAAAGAGCAAAUGUGGAGCUUGAAGAGAGCAACACGGUUGUCAGUUACACGCAGCUCUUGAUGACUCCCCUUGGUGGUGUUUAUGAUGAAAAUCUGUUCUAA
rnacentral:rRNA from 1 species